AGAACGAACGCUGGCGGCAUGCCUAACACAUGCAAGUCGAACGAGACCUUCGGGUCUAGUGGCGCACGGGUGCGUAACGCGUGGGAAUCUGCCCUUGGGUUCGGGAUAACAGUUGGAAACGACUGCUAAUACCGGAUGAUGACUUCGGUCCAAAGAUUUAUCGCCCAGGGAUGAGCCCGCGUAGGAUUAGCUUGUUGGUGAGGUAAAGGCUCACCAAGGCGACGAUCCUUAGCUGGUCUGAGAGGAUGAUCAGCCACACUGGGACUGAGACCACGGCCCAGACUCCUACGGGAGGCAGCAGUGGGAAUAUU
rnacentral:rRNA from 1 species